rnacentral:rRNA from 1 species
AUACAUGCAAGUCGAGCGAAUGGAUUGAGAGCUUGCUCUCAAGAAGUUAGCGGCGGACGGGUGAGUAACACGUGGGUAACCUGCCCAUAAGACUGGGAUAACUCCGGGAAACCGGGGCUAAUACCGGAUAACAUUUUGAACUGCAUGGUUCGAAAUUGAAAGGCGGCUUCGGCUGUCACUUAUGGAUGGACCCGCGUCGCAUUAGCUAGUUGGUGAGGUAACGGCUCACCAAGGCAACGAUGCGUAGCCGACCUGAGAGGGUGAUCGGCCACACUGGGACUGAGACACGGCCCAGACUCCUACGGGAGGCAGCAGUAGGGAAUCUUCCGCAAUGGACGAAAGUCUGACGGAGCAACGCCGCGUGAGUGAUGAAGGCUUUCGGGUCGUAAAACUCUGUUGUUAGGGAAGAACAAGUGCUAGUUGAAUAAGCUGGCACCUUGACGGUACCUAACCAGAAAGCCACGGCUAACUACGUGCCAGCAGCCGCGGUAAUACGUAGGUGGCAAGCGUUAUCCGGAAUUAUUGGGCGUAAAGCGCGCGCAGGUGGUUUCUUAAGUCUGAUGUGAAAGCCCACGGCUCAACCGUGGAGGGUCAUUGGGAAACUGGGAGACUUGAGUGCAGAAGAGGGAGAAGU